UACGUAGGCAGCAAGCGUUGUUCGGAGUUACUGGGCGUAAAGGGUGCGUAGGCGGCCCUGUAAGUAUGGUGUGAAAUCUCCCGGCUUAACUGGGAGGGUGCGCUAUAGACUGCGGGGCUCGAGUGUGGGAGAGGAAAGUGGAAUUCCUGGUGUAGCGGUGAAAUGCGUAGAUAUCAGGAGGAACACCGGUGGCGAAGGCGGUUCUCUGGGCCGAUACUGACACUGAGAAGCGAAAGCGUGGGGAGCGAACAGG
rnacentral:rRNA from 1 species